CAGUCGCCGCGGUAAUACGUAGGUGGCAAGCGUUGUCCGGAAUUAUUGGGCGUAAAGGGCUCGCAGGCGGUUUCUUAAGUCUGAUGUGAAAGCCCCCGGCUCAACCGGGGAGGGUCAUUGGAAACUGGGAAACUUGAGUGCAGAAGAGGAGAGUGGAAUUCCACGUGUAGCGGUGAAAUGCGUAGAGAUGUGGAGGAACACCAGUGGCGAAGGCGACUCUCUGGUCUGUAACUAACGCUGAGGAGCGAAAGCGUGGGGAGCGAACAGGAUUAGAUACCCCAGUAGUCCCUGUCUCUUAUAC
rnacentral:rRNA from 1 species